rnacentral:rRNA from 1 species
AAUCAACGCUGGCGGCGUGCCUAACACAUGCAAGUCGAGCGAGAAAAGGGGAGCAAUCCCCUGAGUACAGCGGCGCACGGGUGAGUAACACGUGGGUAAUCUGCCCUAGAGUGGGGAAUAACACCGGGAAACCGGUGCUAAUACCGCAUACGAUCACAAGAUCUGCGGAUUUUGUGAUGAAAGGAGCAAUUCGCUCUGGGAGGAGCCCGCGGCUGAUUAGCUAGUUGGUGAGGUAACGGCUCACCAAGGCAACGAUCAGUAUCCGGUCUGAGAGGACGGUCGGACACACUGGAACUGAGACACGGUCCAGACUCCUACGGGAGGCAGCAGUGGGGAAUUUUUGGCAAUGGGGGCAACCCUGACCAAGCAACGCCGCGUGGGUGAUGAAGUCUCUUGGGACGUAAAACUCUUUCGACGGGGACGAAACCGCAAGGUUGACGGUACCCGUAGAAGAAGCCCCGGCUAACUCCGUGCCAGCCGCCGCGGUAAAAC